rnacentral:sRNA from 1 species
UUCUAUAUGAACGUCGGUGAAAUGAAC